AAUGAAAUCGUACACAAUAUAAUUCACUUGUUCUGUUGCAUUCAUUACGUGGACGUUUUCGCGCAACUGGAUCACAACAUCCUUGCAGAAUUCGACUCAGACGAUGACUGUCUUCUGGGGUGCUGAGGAGAAUCUUUGAAGUAACAGGGGGUUUGGCCUGAGAAAAUCGAAAAUGACGAGCUCCAUAAUUUGUAUCCUAUCAGAUAAAUCAAGCAGGAUUAGAUUGGCCAGACCUGUAGUACACAUGGGAGAGAUUAUAAAUGGGAGACCACUUGUGAGUUGGGACUCAGCUUUAUCAGGAUAGUUACCAGUGUUGGACAUUUGUUAACAAGGAUCGUGACAUGCCCGACGACCACAAGAUACAGAACACUAAGGUUGACCAGGGUACUGAGGACUUUUAGGUU